GGGGUAGUGGCUCAGUGUUAGAGUGUUGUCUAGCACAUACAAAGCCCUGGGUUCGAUCCUCAGCACCACCU
rnacentral:tRNA from 1 species